rnacentral:rRNA from 1 species
UACGGAGGGAGCUAGCGUUAUUCGGAAUUACUGGGCGUAAAGCGCACGUAGGCGGCUUUGUAAGUAAGAGGUGAAAGCCCAGAGCUCAACUCUGGAAUUGCCUUUUAGACUGCAUCGCUUGAAUCAUGGAGAGGUCAGUGGAAUUCCGAGUGUAGAGGUGAAAUUCGUAGAUAUUCGGAGGAACACCAGUGGCGAAGGCGGCUUACUGGUCCAUAACUGACGCUGAGGUGCGAAAGCGUGGGGAGCAAACAGG